UGGCGCCUACGGGGGGCAGCAGUGAGGAAUAUUGGUCAAUGGCCGAGAGGCUGAACCAGCCACGUCGCGUGAGGGAUGACGGCCCUACGGGUUGUAAACCUCUUUUGUCGGGGAGCAAGACCCGCCACGAGUGGCGGAGCGAGAGUACCCGAAGAAAAAGCAUCGGCCAACUCCGUGCCAGCAGCCGCGGUAAUACGGAGGAUGCGAGCGUUAUCCGGAUUUAUUGGGUUUAAAGGGUGCGCAGGCGGACCAUCACGUCAGCGGUAAAAUCGUGGGGCCCAACCCCCUCCCGCCGUUGAAACUGG
rnacentral:rRNA from 1 species